rnacentral:lncRNA from 1 species
UUUGGUUCUAAAAUUAUUAUUUCCCAUUUUCACAAUGACCAACUUAUUCUUAAGAUUAGAAUUAGGAACAAUGUAACAACAACCACCACACCCACAUAAUUAUAACAAAUUGAAAAAUCUGAAACACAUUAAAAAUGAUAAAAAAUAUACUACCCAACUGAGGAGAAGUAGGGAUGGGUUUUGGCGACAUAAUCGAUGACAGAAAUUAAUCUGGAACAAACUACAAUCAGCGUCGAAUCAAACAGAAAAAACUAAAUGGAAUGAGGCCGACGUAUAACAUAUUCUUGUGAAUAAAUAAACAGCGGAAAGAAGAAGUUCGUGAACUCGACCCUUCGUCACCCGACGACUACAAUUCGCCGGAAAAAAAACACAAAAAGGAGAAAAAAACACAGGGGUUACAGAUCGGGAAUAAAUGACAGAUAAAUAAAAGUACAAAACAAAGCAAUGGCUAACCUUUCUUGAUGUUAAAUGGUAUUCGCAGCCGACCACAACAGUUGAGGGGAAAGAUAAGGUGUUCAUGACGACGGUGAAUUUGUAAAUAAGAAUCUUUAAAGAUUAGGAUUUUUGGUUUAUAAUGAGAAAAUAGGGAAAAAACAGGAGACUAAAUUGAUUAUAUGUCGACGAAAGUUGAGGUGACGAUCGGCAGAAUGGUGAUUAAAGGCGACGGCGAUUUCUAAAAAAAAUUGAUGAAGAUAGUUUUUUUGUUU